rnacentral:rRNA from 1 species
UACAGAGGGGGCAAGCGUUGUUCGGAAUUACUGGGCGUAAAGGGCGCGUAGGCGGCCUGUUAAGUCGAACGUGAAAUCCCCGGGCUCAACCCGGGAACUGCGUCCGAUACUGGCAGGCUUGAAUCCGGGAGAGGGAUGUGGAAUUCCAGGUGUAGCGGUGAAAUGCGUAGAUAUCUGGAGGAACACCGGUGGCGAAGGCGGCUUUCUGGGUCUUACCUGACGCUGAGGAACGAAAGCCAGGGGAGCGAACGGG